UGGGGAAUAUUGGGCAAUGGGCGCAAGCCUGACCCAGCGACGCCGCGUGGGUGAUGAAGGCCUUCGGGUCGUAAAGCCCUGUCAGGUGGAAAGAAUGGGCAGUGUGCAAAUAGCACAGUGCCGUGACGGUACCACCGAAGGAAGCACCGGCCAAUUCCGUGCCAGCAGCCGCGGUAAGACGGAAGGUGCAAGCGUUGCUCGGAAUUACUGGGCGUAAAGCGCACGUAGGUGGUUUUGUAAGUCGGAUGUGAAAGCCCUGGGCUCAACCUGGGAAUUGCAUUCGAUACUGCUUAACUAGAGUAUGGUAGAGGGAAGUGGAAUUUCCGGUGUAGCGGUGAAAUGCGUAGAUAUCGGAAGGAACACCAGUGGCGAAGGCGACUUCCUGGGCCAAUACUGACACUGAGGUGCGAAAGCGUGGGUAGCAAACAGGAUUAGAUACCCCCGUAGUCCCUGAGCGGGCUGGCAAGGCGCAU
rnacentral:rRNA from 1 species